rnacentral:rRNA from 1 species
AUGAACUACACUCUUCGCUGGCAGAGCUUGCAGCUGAUCAUGCUGAUUUUUUUGCAUUACUGCGGGAACACCUCCGCAGCGCACAGGAGCGCGUCAAGGCUCAGGACGACAAGCACCACCAGGAUUGUUAGUUCGCUGUCGACAAAGAUGUGCUCCUCAAGCUUCAACCAUAGGCGCACUCGUUGCUUGUCAGUCAGACCGUGCUCCAAGCUUGCUCACAAAUUCUACAGCCCAUUCAAAGUCUUGGAACGAAUUGGAGCUGCAGCUUAUCGUUUGGAUCUUCCGCCCUCAAGUCUCAUACAUCCAGGGUUUCACAUGUCGCAACUGAAGCCAUUCACCGCCAACUAUUCACCGGUCUUCAUGGAGCUGCCAGAUCUCUCCACUGUGCUGUUGCAACUGCUGGCUAUCCGGGAGCGACUUAUGGUCACGAAGGGUAGCAUGACAAUUCUGCAAGUCAAGGUACGCUGGAACAUGCGACUUGGGAAGAUUACUACAUCUUGUGCUCGUGUUUUCUAG